rnacentral:misc_RNA from 1 species
GUAGGUGAACCUGCGGAAGGAUCAUUAAUGAAAAGUUCUUUUGAACCAAUCAUAACACCCCAUUGUUUUAACUCCACCCCUUUUGCUUCCACUGGUCAGUGUUGAGCCCUUCUGUCUGGCGUUGGGUACGUCUGGGACGUUGGGCAAGACCCUCCAUUCAUGCCCUUCAUAUUUCUUUGGAGUGGCUGGAGCGUGCCGGUGCUUGACUACCAAAAAAAAAAAAAAAUACUUGAAGAUGAGAAAUACUGUC